UUUCAUAAAAAAUAUAGAUAUUUAAAAUUUUCAAGUAAGAUAGGAUGAUAUUUUGUUAAGUAAACUUAAUUUAAUAAAUAAUUUAUAAUUUUGUCAAUGUUGUAAAGAUAAUUUCACAAGAUAAAUAAUAAUAUAAAAAAUUGAGGUAGAUAUCAGGAUACAUUUCACUUUUGGUUGCAUAACCCACUCGUUUGGUUUAUUUUCUGAUCUUUUUUCACUUUAAAAAGGACCAUUGUUUUAAAAAAAUUAUAUCAAUCAAUAUCUGAUUCCAACUUAUUAGUAGGGGUAUAGGAGAUGAAAAAUAAGAUAUAAUAAAUAAGUUAUUAUUUUAACAUUAUUACGAAAAAAUUAUUUAGUAAAAACUAUUUAAUCUAACAUAACAUUACAUCAUACAUAUGACUGUUUAACAACA
rnacentral:lncRNA from 1 species